AUUUCCAUGUUCUCGGCAACGCUGUGACUUUUUUAUGAGUUGAAAGAACAUGGUUCUCAAAGCCGGCUUGGAAGUCCCUGGGCGGUUCUCCCCGAGGGCCCGGGACCCGAAGAAAGGCGCGGCCCGAGCCCGGCUGGCCCCCCGGGGCGGAAGGGACUUGUUGCUGCUCGGCGCCCGGCAAGGCGGGAGGAGCGCGGGCGAGGCACAGAGAGGGCCGGGUGCCUGAGGGAUCGGGGGUGGAGUGGGGUGGGGAGGGGGCUCCGGGGCGCCUUCUCCCCCCGCCCCCGGCUCCGUCUCCCUCAUGGCCUUUUUCCUAGGAAAGCUCCGAGAGCCGGUGCGCUAUGGGCGGGAGGGAGGCCUGGAGAAGGUGAUGGGGACGGGAGGUGGGAGCAGCCCGACCCAGACCCCACGCAGGGAACCUCUGUUGUUUAUCUUGGCCCUUCCCGCGGUCCGCGGGGGACUGAGCUCUGGGCCAGGGCGGAAGAGAGGCGGGGGAAGGCGAGGCAGCAAUAAGAGCUGGGAGCUUCUUGGGAGCGGAGACCCGGAGGUUGGACCGAAGAUUGCGGAGGGAGGGGAGCCCAAGCUCACGGCGUCCCCUGCUCGGAGACUAGACUGAGGUCCUCCAGGAGAGAAGUCCCUCCAAGGGGGAGAGCCAUCUGGGAGACAUAGGCCGCCAAGAAGACAUCGACAUGGCCCCUGAGUGCUAACUUUGUCUACAUAGUUGACAAUUGUCAAUGGAAGAAAGUGGAGUAAGACCAGAGAUGAAAAAAUCAAGGUCCAGAGAGAUGAAAUGACCUAAUGCAAUGAGAUAAAUAUGCAAGCCAAGAAGGAAGGAAAGAAAUAAGCAUUUAUUAAGCCUUUAUUAAGAAGUGAAGUCAGGCUCUCUAAUUUCAAGUUCGGGACUCUUUUUUACCUUCAUAUUGUCUCUCUUUAAUUUGAAAUUUUAAAGGUAGAUUUUAUUGAGGACUUUUAUCUUCAGUCAACAAGUACUUUUAAAAAAUCUCUCCCAUGUUUCAGACAUCAUACUGCUGAUACAAAGAAAAAUUCUGCUUUUCAGAAACACAACAGGGUCAUUUUCUUCUGUGUUCCACCACCUCUCUCCCUUCUUUGAUGAUGCUCCCUCAUUUUGUAUCCAAAGAAAAAACAGCCAAGCAAAACCAACUGAUAAAGAGACCCCAUCUGCACCCAUGAGCCCUCAUCUCUCUGCCAAGAAGAAUAUGGAGGUGUGUUUCAUCAUUUCACAAUCUGGAUGAAGAUCGGUCCUGGUACUUAAUUUGAGUUCAACUGCCUUGUAGUAUCAUUGAAAGCAUGGCUUGUUUAGCCUAGUUCUUGGCACAGAGUAAGCUCUCAAUAAAGGCUUAUAAUUCACCGA